UCUCCGUUGGUGAACCAGCGGAGGGAUCAUUAUCGAGUUUAUAACUCCCAAACCCUAUGUGAACUUACCACUUGUUGCUUCGGCGCGCGCUACGGUGCCGCCGAGGACACUUAAACUCUUUGUUUUUAUAAGCAUUUCUGAGUGGCCGAAAGGCAAAAUACAAAUGAAUCAAAACUUUCAACAACGGAUCUCUUGGUUCUC
rnacentral:misc_RNA from 1 species